UUCAGCCAAAACGCACGCUCAGGACAAAAUGCGACAAAAAAAACUCCUUCACGGCGCCAUAAAAAACUCAUUAUGCGACACUUCAAUCUUGCGCCCACAACCAAGAAUUUCAGCAAACAAUUACGAAUUUGAAUUCACCCUCGACAAAGAAACAAGAAUGCAAUUGAAUCCACGUGGAAAUUCGACAUCAAAAUGCAAUUGUCAAAAUUAAAUUCGAAUCAAAGUUGUGCGUGAAAUAGCAACGAUUGUAGAUUGAAAACGUACCAGAUUCGUGCUUUGCGUGGAGGCGGAGAUGAAGACUCUUAAGUUCGAAUAUGUGUGUUGCAUCGUUUUGAUGAAGAGUGAAGACGAAGCUUGGUUCGGCUCCAUGCGUUGUGUUGCAAUGAAGAGUGAAAGUGGAGAUGCGCAACGAAUCGUGGUAUUGUGAUGAUGAAGAGUUCGUGAUGAUGAAUGAAAAAGUGAAGGUACCAAACUCUUUUUGAAACUUUGUUUGCUCUUCUCCGCCUAUAAUUUUCGUUUUUAUGAUCGUGUUACUCGGUUGUUAUGAGGGUUGAAAAAGUUGUUAGUUGGUUCAGGAAAUUGGAGGUGGUUGGAGAGUUCUUGAAGUGUUUGUUAAGGGUUCUGAAGGUGAAAGUUAGAAGUUGGAGGUAUCAAGGUUCAGGUGAAUUUAGCUAUGUUGGAAUGAAGGGAAGGUUAGAGAGGAGGUUGGAUUUCUGUUAUCGUUUUGUGAAGUCAAGUUGGGGAUAUUUGUGCCAUUCGGUUCAGGAGGUUGGGAUUUUGGAAUUCAAUUUUGAGUUGUUGGAGGGAAGUUGAGAAUUGGUUAGGGAAGGUUUUUUUGGGUAGCAAGGUGAUUGUGUUAUCAAUUGGAGGUUGAAGGUGUUCUUGGGAGAAGUCUUGUUGAAGGUUCAGUUAGUUUUUGACCGGUUAGUUCAAGAGGGUUUGCCCGUUAUAUUAAUGGUUAUGUUUUCCCAUUUUAUGCAGGUUUUUUUGGUGGUUUGUGCAGGUUAGAAGAGAUUUUCAUGUCUGUAUUCGUUUCUGUUUUUGAUUCCCGUUUUCAAGUCUGAUGUGGUGGGCUCUAGAGGUUAGGAUUCAGUUCGAAUGUGGAGGCUUUGGAGGUUAGGCUUUUUAUUCUGAUGUGUUAUCUUAGGAGUUGUUAUCAGUUAGAGAGUUUUUUAGCAGGGUUAUGUUAUGACAAGUAAAUCAGUUAGGUUUGCUUUUGUUUCAGUUAGGAUGAGUUGAGAGGUAGUUAAAAAAAUGGUUUGGAGCAAGAGAAGUUAGCAGUUGUCAAAAUUUGGACAGGUUGGACAACUACACAUUCGACUAUUGGAGCGAUCAAUGCCACAAGAGUCCAAGACUUUCAGUUAUUUUUUUAUUCAAAUUAUGCAUUGUGAUGUUACGUACAAGAAUUAGGGAUUUUGUGUGGUUAUAAUGUAUGAAAGUAUUGGAAGAUGAAUUAGAAUGUAUUUAUGUAUGUAAUUGGAAUUGAAUGGUUAUAUGAUGGUUGUUAUAUGAAAUUGGAAUUUUGGAACUUGGAAUUGUAAUAGUGUGAAUUGGAAUGGAAAUUAGCAAAACUUGAAUUGAA